rnacentral:rRNA from 1 species
GUAGGGAGCAAGCGUUGUCCGGAUUCACUGGGUGUAAAGGGUGCGUAGGCGGGACAGUAAGUCAGUGGUGAAAUCUCACGGCUCAACCGUGAAACUGCCGUUGAUACUGCUGUUCUUGAGUUCGGGAGAGGUUGAUAGAAUUCCAGGUGUAGCGGUGAAAUGCGUAGAUAUCUGGAAGAAUACCAGUGGCGAAGGCGGUCAACUGGCCCGAAACUGACGCUGAGGCACGAAAGCGUGGGGAGCGAACAGGAUUAGAUACCCUGGUAGUCCACGCCCUAAACGAUGAAUGCUUGGUGUUGGCCGGCAACGGUCAGUGCCGAAGGAAACCUGUUAAGCAUUCCACCUGGGGAGUACGCUCGCAAGGGUGAA